rnacentral:rRNA from 1 species
CGCGUGAGUGAAGAAGGGUUUCGGCUCGUAAAGCUCUGUUGGUAGUGAAGAAAGAUAGAGGUAGUAACUGGCCUUUAUUUGACGGUAAUUACUUAGAAAGUCACGGCUAACUACGUGCCAGCAGCCGCGGUAAUACGUAGGUGGCAAGCGUUGUCCGGAUUUAUUGGGCGUAAAGCGAGUGCAGGCGGUUCAAUAAGUCUGAUGUGAAAGCCUUCGGCUCAACCGGAGAAUUGCAUCAGAAACUGUUGAACUUGAGUGCAGAAGAGGAGAGUGGAACUCCAUGUGUAG